rnacentral:snRNA from 1 species
AGCUUUGAGCAGUGGCAGUAUCGUAGCCAAUGAGGUUUAUCCGAGGCGCGAUUAUCGCUAAUUGAAAACUUUUCCCAAUACCCCGCCAUGACGACUUGAAAUAUAGUCAGCAUUGGCAAUUUUUGACAGUCUCUACAGAGA